UGCAAACUGCGAAUACCGGAGAAUGUUAUCACGGGAGACACACGGCGGGUGCUAACGUCCGUCGUGAAGAGGGAAACAACCCAGACCGCCAGCUAAGGUCCCAAAGUCAUGGUUAAGUGGGAAACGAUGUGGGAAGGCCCAGACAGCCAGGAUGUUGGCUUAGAAGCAGCCAUCAUUUAAAGAAAGCGUAAUAGCUCACUGGUCGAGUCGGCCUGCGCGGAAGAUGUAACGGGGCUAAACCAUGCACCGAAGCUGCGGCAGCGACGCUGAUGCGUUGUUGGGUAGGGGAGCGUUCUGUAAGCCUGCGAAGGUGUGCUGUGAGGCAUGCUGGAGGUAUCAGAAGUGCGAAUGCUGACAUAAGUAACGAUAAAGCGGGUGAAAAGCCCGCUCGCCGGAAGACCAAGGGUUCCUGUCCAACGUUAAUCGGGGCAGGGUGAGUCG
rnacentral:rRNA from 1 species